rnacentral:rRNA from 1 species
GAUGAACGCUGGCGGCGUGCCUAAUACAUGCAAGUCGAGCGAACAGAUAAGGAGCUUGCUCCUUUGACGUUAGCGGCGGACGGGUGAGUAACACGUGGGUAACCUACCUAUAAGACUGGAAUAACUCCGGGAAACCGGGGCUAAUGCAGGAUAACAUGUUGAACCGCAUGGUUCUACAGUGAAAGGCGGCUUUGCUGUCACUUAUAGAUGGACCCGCGCCGUAUUAGCUAGUUGGUGAGGUAACGGCUCACCAAGGCAACGAUACGUAGCCGACCGGAGAGGGGGAUCGGCCACACUGGAACUGAGACACGGUCCAGGCUCCUACGGGAGGCAGCAGUAGGGAAUCUUCCGCAAUGGGCGAAAGCCUGACGGAGCAACGCCGCGUGAGUGAUGAAGGUCUUCGGAUCGUAAAACUCUGUUAUUAGGGAAGAACAAAUGCGUAAGUAACUGUGCGCGUCUUGACGGUACCUAAUCAGAAAGCCACGGCUAACUACGUG